CGUGCCUGCCGUCCUAGCUACUCCCGAGGCUGAGGCGGGACGAUCAAUUGAGCCCGGGAGGUUGAGGCUGCAGUAACUCGAGAUCUCGCCACUGCAUUCCAGCUUCUGCGACAGAGCGAGACCGUGUCAAAAAAAAAAAAAAAAAAAGGCUGACUAGAAACAGCUAGUGUGCGCCACUCUCACAAACAGAAGAAAGUGAUCAUCCAGGUGGACACUCUGGGAUUCAGCGAGGAAACAACACAACCCACGGAGAACAAAGACGAGUAAGACAGGACAGCCUCCCACCGGGACUGGUACGGAGCCAGGAGAGGACCCCAACAUGGGGAAAUGGAUCUUUAUUGUCCUUGUGUGCCUUCACUCCAACUCUGAUUAAAAAGGACUCUCUACAGAAGAUUUACUACUGGUCACUUACAUUGAUGCACUUGAUGAAAACCUUUCUACUGGGGUUUCUUCAGAGCUUUAUGACUCGUUAAUGCAGAAAUGACAGCAGAAUAUCUAUUGUUUUAUGUCAAGAACAUUUGCCAGCAUUUGCAGUGAUAACAGUCCUGAGAGAUACGGCAAUGUUAGAUUCAGAUGUGGCAAGUUUCCUCUGGCAGAAGAUCAAGGCCCUGGGCUGGCUGCUGCAUUUUCUAAGGGAGGCCUCAGCAGUGACUGAGGCUUUUCUUUUUGACAUCUAUCUGCAAACUGCCUCCACCCCGCUGCAUUCCUACAACUGAUGCCCCAUGACUUCCUUCCUACUUUCUUGUUGCUCAUUUCUUAGUGUCUGAUAAAUAGGCUAACAUUUCCAGUGGAAUUAAUGUAUCAUUAAGUAGAUUUUAAACACAAAAACCUGUGCUACUCCUUCUUAAGAAUGAGGUCUGUUUACCUUCUGAGUGGGUUAUUUAAUAAAAAUAUUAGGUGAGUUAAAUUAAUAAAAACAAACAACAACAAAAAACAAAUACCACUGUGCUCACUGCCACUACUUUCCUUCCCUUUCUCCACCAAAACCCAAACAAAGCUGCAACAAGACUUGCCUCACCUAGGACUGACUGGUGAUUACACAUUUUACUUACCGGGACUCAUAAAAUUGUCAAAAAAGUGACCUCUGUGACCAGGAGGCAGCUACUAACUACAUUUCCAUUUAUGGCUUCUCUGGCUGUGGUUUAGAAUAUUUAUCCUCUCCUUUGCUGUUGGUGGUUUAUCUAAUGCUAAAGGCUAUAAACAGACUG